AGGAAGACUAAAGAAGCUAACAUCUACCAAAGGGAUGCAGCUUUUCGGAGGAUGUCUGUGAAGCCAGGUUGCUUGUAAGGACCAUAACAUGUAUUCCCGCUUAUUCAAGUGAUGCUUCCUAGAAGAGAUAAUGAUUAUAAAUAUUGGCACUUAACCACGAAGCAGAAGUUAAAUGAACUGGGAAAAUAAACUUCACUGUCCUGUGAUUUCAUGACUGAUAUCAGCUAGCAGUUGUCUAAAAUAUUUAUUUUCUUAACCUGCUAGUUUGCAUGACAAUUACAAAGAAAGGAUUCUACUGAAGUGAUGCAACAUAUUCAUCCUCCUCCCUUUUUUCUUUCACCUGACCUGUUUGCCUUGCUGCAGUAGUGUCUUCAGUUUGUCACCCUCAGACCUCCAUCCCAUAACUAGCCCCUGAUAUUCCAGGUUAAUAGCCCCUGUGCAGAACAGGUAAUGUUGAAUUAUAUGACUCAACAUUUUACCAUUCUGAGACUUCCAGCUGAGUCGUAUUUCAUUGAAUAUUGGACCAUGAUUUAUUUAUUCAUUCAUCUGUUGACGGACAUUUGGAUCAUUUCCAGUUCUUGGGCAGUACAAGCAAAACUGCUAUGAAUGUUUAUAUACAUCUCCUUAUAUGGCUGUAUGUUUUAAUUCCACUGGGGCUGCUAAGGAGCUACGCUGAUAUGGAAAAGGAGGGACUUGCUUAGAUAAACUUUUGUGGAAAAGUAUUGCUGUCAGCAAGAAUACAGCCCUUACAUAACCUAGUCCCACGAGGCUGCUGGGGAUCGCAAGGAUAACAUCUCACCCAUUUGUAAUUCACUGGCAAGAAAUAUUACCUACCCAAAUAUCUCCCACUAGCAGGAUCUCACAUUACAUUUAGUCAUCAUGGCUCCUGAGGUGCCACUUGCCUAUGAUGGUCUCUCACACUUUCCUUGCUUUUGAUGAUGGUGACUAAAUUAUCAGUUUUGAAAA